CCCCGGGACCCGGCCUGGGGAGGAGCCGGGGGGCGGGACUAGGCCCCCAGGACCCCGGCGGGCUGUGCCUCGGUCCACCUGGGUACCCGCCUGCAGCGCCUCCCAGUGGCCCUAGACAGACUCCGGCUUGGCCGUUGCAAGGCGCGUGCGCCGGGUUCCAGCCUCGGCUGGGCCCCGGGCGUGGGGGCGUGGCCUGGCCGCAACUGGAAAACGAUUGGCCCGCGGAACUAAAUGUUUUUCCUAAGGGGCAUUGGGAUUGGUCAGGAGGACGCCCAGGGACCGCCCGGGGGAGGGAUCAAACCACAACAAGCCUUCGGCAGAUAUGGGCGGGGCCUCAGUGAGUCCUCGGUCACCCUCUAAAGUGAUUGGGUCACGGGGCGGGGCUUGACCAAACCUCUGAAUGAGGGGAGGGGCGCAAGCUUGAGAGAGGCUGACCAGGAUGGGCGAGUCGGGUCCCUCUCCCCAGCCCCCGGACUUGGCAGCUGCUCGGGUCUGGGAGCGUAGCCACGCCUUGGUCCUGCCCGAGAUCGUGGGUCCUGAAUCCAGGUGAAGCCCUAGACACAUCAGCAAAGAGCUCCCCGUUCUCGCCAGUGUGCAAGCACGACCUGGAUGUCCACUCGGUGCGAAACCGCGGGGCCAGUAGAUCUUGGCCCAGUAGAAGACCAGUCUGGAUACGGGGCCUCCGGGCUUCCCUAAUUCUCCAUCUCUUCCCCUGUGGCCUGCAUCUUCCGCGGAAUCCUGUCCUCGCGGUCGCCUUUGUCCACCCCUCAUCUUUCUCCUUCGGAGGAAAACUGCACAACUCGUCGGCACCUACUGGGACCUGAUAGAGACGAUCAGAUCUGUGACGAGACAGAGUCACAUUGACGCACCUGAGGGUCAGUGUGUGGUAUGUGACUUGGGAUUGGCUUUGCUGGACGGCGUCCCCCCUGAAAGCCCGCCUACGUGUCUGUCUCCCCCAGGAAGUGGUCCAGAACCUCCUGACAAACAUAACUAGAUGGCCGAGUGAAGCCUUGGAUGCCAGGCCCAGUAGUUUGAACUUUUCCUGUGGGCUAGGGGACACAUGGAAGGUUUUUGAACAGAUGUGGCCAGGGAGAAUAAAUGGGAAAGAAUGAGCUACUCUAUGGGAACCAGGGAACUAGCUCCAGGAAGCAAUCCCACCCCCAGAUUGAAGAAUUCCAGAUUGAGGCCGUUUCUUCAGACUAGAUUCCGAUUCUGGAAUGAAGAUGAAGUAGAACAGAGCCACAGCUGUCCCAUGGAGGACAUUGGUUCACAACAUCCUCAGAAGCUUCCCAAGUGAAACCUGAAACCAGCCCCUGUACACAGAGCACAGGGAGAGACUGAACAAAGAGGCAGGCCACCGCAGAUCAAUACAUGGUGGGGUUAAGAAGCAAGGGGACCUACAUGCCACCAGACACGUAGAUCUCUGCACCUCCCACCAAAUCUUAAAAAUCUAUAUAGAGGGCUUGGGGUGCCUGGCUGGCUUAGGCAGUAGAGCGUGUGACUUCUGAUCUCAGGGUCAUGAGUUCAAGCUCCAUGUUGGGCAUGGAGCCUACUUUAAAAAAAAGUUUUUGUAGAGGCCUUCACUGGGUUCAGUCAUGUCUACCAUGCAGAUGGUCUCAACAACACAGUACUCUCUCAAGGCUGCAUCCUUGGGGCAGCGUCUGGUGGCAGAGAAGUCAAGCCAAAUGGACAUUCCAAGGACAAGGGAGGGGUAUGAGGAGCCUUUGAUUACAGGGGAGGGGGGGUGCUGCUCACAGGUCAACUGGCAGUCAUAUUCUUUUGAUGACCUGAUGAGCUCCCCCAAGAGAGGACAUGGAAUAUCAGUGAGAAAAACACAUUUGUUGUGAACCACUGAAAUUUUGGGAUGGUUGUUACUGCCGCAUAAUUUGAUCCUAGUUGAUGGAUAAAAGCUCUCCAUGUUGCAGAGACUCCGUUCAGUUCUCCUGUCCUUUUUUAAUCUUUAAUUUUUUUAAAAAUAUUU